rnacentral:tRNA from 1 species
GUUGGGGAGGCCGAGUGGUUAAGGCGUUGGACUUAGAAAUCCAAUGGGAUCUUCCCGCGCAGGUCCGAAUCCUGCUCGCAACG